rnacentral:lncRNA from 1 species
GAACCGGAAGUGUCUCUCGGUCUUUCCAGCUGGUUGUCAUUUCACUCGGCUCGGUCCUGAGGAGAAGGACUCAGCCGCGGCUGCGGGACCUGGGCACCGGAGGCAGUGGCGGCGGCGGCGGCGGCGGCAGCGGCGACAGCAGAGGAAGACGAGGAGGAAGAAGGAAGAAAAAGAAGAGCCAGACGGAGUCCGCAACGACGACAGCUGGGACUGCGGGACCGGGGAAAAGCGGCGGCGGCGGCGGCCCAGCAACCGUGAGGAGAAACAAAAGCCUUCUAAAUUAUAGUUUCCAAUCAGUCUAGGGGAAAAGAGAGCGCGAGCCGAGGGGGGAGGCUUUUCUCCUGUAGAGUAACUACGGUAGCGGGGUUUUCCUUUUUGUCCAUCCCCCUUCCCCCUCCCCCCGGCGGAGAAUCGAACUGAGAGAACUGAACAAACCGCCCCUGGGUCCCAUGAGGGAAAAAAAUCCCGGAGCCGCAGAGAGGGGAAGAGGCAGAAACCGCAGGACCUUCCAGGUCGCCCCCUUGCUCCCCGCACCCCCGGGCCGCCAGCUUGCCCUUGUCCAGUCUCGCUAAUCCCUCCUGAUCGCGACACCCCCCAGAGGGAGAAACGGGUGUUUCCAACCCCUUUCAUGGGGGAAAGGAGGCCGAGGGGAGCCCAAGAACAGCAAACGCAGCAAGAUCUGCACCCGGAGCCCAAGGAACAGCCCCAGAGGCCCACACUGCACCCUACAAAAGAACAGAAACAGGACCAGGAACAGCAGAAAUCUCCCUGCAAUCAUCUUUCCUUUAGUCAAGGCUGAUUUCCUCUUUGGCAACCAGAAAUUCACCUCCCGCCCCAGAUAACCUAAUAUAAUCUAUCUAUAUAUAAAUAUAUAAUAUAUAAUGUUCUUAAAUUAUUCCUGAUUUUUUUAACCAAGCUGCCAA